AUUGAACGCUGGCGGCAGGCCUAACACAUGCAAGUCGAGCGGAUGAGAGAAGCUUGCUUCUCGAUUCAGCGGCGGACGGGUGAGUAAUGCCUAGGAAUCUGCCUGGUAGUGGGGGACAACGUUUCGAAAGGAACGCUAAUACCGCAUACGUCCUACGGGAGAAAGCAGGGGACCUUCGGGCCUUGCGCUAUCAGAUGAGCCUGGGUCGGAUUAGCUAGUUGGUGAGGUAAUGGCUCACCAAGGCGACGAUCCGUAACUGGUCUGAGAGGAUGAUCAGUCACACUGGAACUGAGACACGGUCCAGACUCCUACGGGAGGCAGCAGUGGGGAAUAUUGGACAAUGGGCGAAAGCCUGAUCCAGCCAUGCCGCGUGUGUGAAGAAGGUCUUCGGAUUGUAAAGCACUUUAAGUUGGGAGGAAGGGUUGUAGAUUAAUACUCUGCUGUUUUGACGUUACCGACAGAAUAAGCACCGGCUAACUUCGUGCCAGCCGCCGCGGUAAGAC
rnacentral:rRNA from 1 species